ACUGACAUGUGGAGCCUAAUGACAUAUAUUGAGCACCUACUGUAUUCCAUCUAUUUUCCAGGUGGAGAAGAUGGCCAGGAGGUCCCUCCAGGCAGCCAGAUCAGUCAAAGCAAAGCUGUAAGGGACAUCACCAAAGGAGGUCUUCAACACAGCAUGACAAGGCAUAAUAGACAUCUACAAGGUUUCCCUGGAGUUACGGCGGGCAACGCUCACAUCCCCACCCAUUGACGCUGGAUUUGGCCAUGUGGUUUGUUUGGCCAGUGAGCUAUUAGCAGAUACGAUGCAGACAGAAGCUGGAAAUGCACUUGCCCUUCUGCCAUCAGGUAGCUCUUCCCCUCCAGCCCAGACCCCAGAAUGAGACAUGUGGAACAGACGUGACCCACACCUGCAGCCUGCAGCCAAGCCCCACUGAACACAGCUGAGAUCAGCACAAGACUGACCCACCUGCAGACCCCUGAACGAGAAAAUAAAGGUGUGUUAUCACUGGUUGCUGAAAUGCCG
rnacentral:lncRNA from 13 species